UACUCCUACCGGGGGGCAGCAGUGGGGAAUAUUGCACAAUGGGCGCAAGCCUGAUGCAGCCAUGCCGCGUGUAUGAAGAAGGCCUUCGGGUUGUAAAGUACUUUCAGCGGGGAGGAAGGUGGUGAGGUUAAUAACCUCAGCAAUUGACGUUACCCGCAGAAGAAGCACCGGCUAACUCCGUGCCAGCAGCCGCGGUAAUACGGAGGGUGCAAGCGUUAAUCGGAAUUACUGGGCGUAAAGCGCACGCAGGCGGUCUGUUAAGUCAGAUGUGAAAUCCCCGGGCUUAACCUGGGAACUGCAUUUGAAACUGGCAGGCUUGAGUCUCGUAGAGGGGGGUAGAAUUCCAGGUGUAGCGGUGAAAUGCGUAGAGAUCUGGAGGAAUACCGGUGGCGAAGGCGGCCCCCUGGACGAAGACUGACGCUCAGUCGAAG
rnacentral:rRNA from 1 species